AGCUUCGUUCCGAUUGUAAGAUGGCA
rnacentral:piRNA from 1 species